GACGAACGCUGGCGGCGUGCUUAACACAUGCAAGUCGAACGAAAAGAUGCUGCGUUUGCUGCGCGGUCGUUUGGGGAACAGGGGAGUGAAACACGAGGAACCCGUCCUUGUCUUUCGGAUAAAUCUACGGAAAUGCGGCGAUUAUACCGUAUGAUCUCUUGCUCCACAGGGGUGGAUGGAAAGAGUCGGCUUUGGUGUCAGUACUAGCUGGUUCUGCGCCGCAUUAUCUAGUUGGUAAGGUAACGGCUUACCAAGGCAACGAUGCGUAGCCGACCUGAGAGGGUGAUCGGCCACACUGGAACGGAGACACGGUCCAGACUCCUACGGGAGGCAGCAGUAGGGAAUCUUCCGCAAUGGGCGAAAGCCUGACGGAGCAACGCCGCGUGAGUGAUGAAGGUCUUCGGAUCGUAAAACUCUGUUAUUAGGGAAGAACAAAUGUGUAAGUAACUAUGCACGUCUUGACGGUACCUAAUCAGAAAGCCACGGCUAACUACGUG
rnacentral:rRNA from 1 species